rnacentral:misc_RNA from 1 species
UCCGGUUUGUCACCGGCAGUCUCAUUAGAGUGCCCUUUCGUAGCAACUAAUGACAAGGGUUGCGCUCGUUGCGGGACUUAACCCAACAUCUCACGACACGAGCUGACGACAGCCAUGCAGCACCUGUGUACUGGUUCUCUUUCGAGCACUCCCUGAUCUCUCAAGGAUUCCAGCCAUGUCAAGGGUAGGUAAGGUUUUUCGCGUUGCAUCGAAUUAAUCCACAUCAUCCACCGCUUGUGCGGGUCCCCGUCAAUUCCUUUGAGUUUUAAUCUUGCGACCGUACUCCCCAGGCGGACGACUUCGCGCGUUAGCUUCGGCACGGGGGGAGUCGACACCCCCCACACCUAGCACCCAUCGUUUACGGCGUGGACUAC